rnacentral:lncRNA from 1 species
GGUCACAGCAGCCUGGGAAAAUAAUAGAGGACACUCGCCAUCACCCCAAGAGCACCCUCGUGCGCCUGCCCGGUCGGUCCUCCCACCCCAGCUUGCGUCCACCGCCGUCCUGAUAUUUCCCAUCGGAGAUCGAUUGGCUUAUGCUGGGGCCUCGUAUACACGGAACCGCGCAGCUGUGUUCUUUCGUGUCUGGCGUCUUCCACCCGGCGCGAGGUUUUGGAGAUGCGCGCAGGCUGCUGGGCUGACCAAUCGAAUGUGACGGAAAUGGUGGUGUGCCAGUUUGGGGCUUAAGCCUAAAGAAGGCGUAGAAGCUUUUACUUCUGUGUUUGGAGGAAGCCAGCUGCUGUGUAAGGAGUGUGACUACUGCGUGGGGAGACCACGUCGAAAGGCCACAUGGAGAGAGCACCAGGAAAGACAACUUGGACCACACGCAGGGGCCAUGUGGAAAGAUUAUGUGAAGAGGCCACAUGUGCAGGGGCCACUUGGAGAGGCCACAUGAGGAGGGAGAAAAUACGUAAUGGAGGAACGGAGAACCAGGCGGGCAGACACAUGCUCCAGCCACUGCGGCCAUCCUCGCUCGCUGAGGAUGAGCCACACAUGGGAGCGAAGAAGUCACCUUGGAUGUUCCAGCCAGCAGCCAGCACUGGAACAGAGACAAGCUGGCCCUCUGGGCUCUGUCCAAAAUUCCUGACCCACAGGAUCAUGAGCAAAGCAAACAGUGGUUGUUCUCAGCCACCAAGUUAUGGGGGACAUUGUCACACCACAAUAUUCAGAGCAUGCCCUGCCCCUAGGCUGGCACUGUGGCCAGUUCCUUGUGUCCCUUCCAGCGGGAGACACAUCUUCAGACAAACACAUGCGUAAAUGUCCAUGUCUCCCCUCAUUUAUGUGGGGGUUGGCACGCCACACAUUCUGGCUGCACUUGGCUUUCUUCUCUUAACGAUAGAUCUUGGAGAUGGUGCUAGAUGCGUGCCGUUCCACACAGUAGUCACCAGCCACAGGAGGUUCUUGAAAUUUAAUUAAAAUGGAAUGAAAUAAAAACUUCAGUUCCUCAGUCACGCUAGCCACAUCUCAAGCGCUCAAUGGCCACACACGGCUGGUAGCUCCCAGAUGGCACAGCCCAGAUUAGGCUAUCCCCACCGUUCCAGAAAGUUCUACGGGACGGCGCUGGUCUGGAUCCCCUCCCACAGCGCUGCCUCGGUCUUUCUAGCGGCUGCAUCCUAUUUCCUGGUAAUGACAGCCAUGAUGUGCUCUUGUGAGCUUCUGCUAUUCCCACGUCCAUUGGUCUUUGUGCAGGGGUGGGAGUCUUUGUCGUAGAAAUGCCCAGCAACAGUUCCCACUCUGAGAGCCGUGGCCAAGUGACAACUGGAGGUG